GAUGAACGCUGGCGGCGUGCCUAAUACAUGCAAGUCGAGCGAACGGACGAGAAGCUUGCUUCUCUGAUGUUAGCGGCGGACGGGUGAGUAACACGUGGAUAACCUACCUAUAAGACUGGGAUAACUUCGGGAAACCGUAGCUAAUACCGGAUAAUAUUUUGAACCGCAUGGUUCAAAAGUGAAAGACGGUCUUGCUGUCACUUAUAGAUGGAUCCGCGCUGCAUUAGCUAGUUGGUAAGGUAACGGCUUACCAAGGCAACGAUGCAUAGCCGACCUGAGAGGGUGAUCGGCCACACUGGUACUGAGACACGGUCCAGACUCCUACGGGAGGCAGCAGUAGGGAAUCUGCCGCAAUGGGCGAAAGCCUGACGGAGCAACGCCGCGUGAGUGAUGAAGGUCUUCGGAUCGUAAAACUCUGUUAUUAGGGAAGAACAUAUGUGUAAGUAACUGUGCACAUCUUGACGGUACCUAAUCAGAAAGCCACGGCUAACUACGUG
rnacentral:rRNA from 1 species